UACAGGGGGGGGCAAGCGUUGUUCGGAAUUACUGGGCGUAAAGGGCUCGUAGGUGGCCAACUAAGUCGGACGUGAAAUCCCUCAGCUUAACUGGGGAACUGCGUCCGAUACUGGAUGGCUUGAGUUUGGGAGAGGGAUGCGGAAUUCCAGGUGUAGCGGUGAAAUGCGUAGAUAUCUGGAGGAACACCGGUGGCGAAGGCGGCAUCCUGGACCAACACUGACACUGAGGAGCGAAAGCCAGGGGAGCAAACGGG
rnacentral:rRNA from 1 species